GCUGUUCAGUGUGCUCUCACAGGUAAACAUAGAGGAAAAAAAUCAUACUCGUUGUGUGAGAUUUCCCAGAUCUAUUUGACAUUUCUUAAAAAGAAAUUCGAAGUAUAAAGAAAAAAACAGUUGCUGGCACCAUAGUAAACAUAUCGGUGCAAAUGUGCAAAGUUGGCGCCACCGCUGAUGAAGGCCAGUUGUUCCCUGAUGUCCUCCAGCACUCGUCUCAGUCCAGUGGAGGACGGAAAUGAAACGGAAGAUUGUUUCUGUUCCCCUGGAAAAAGUUUGGCCGCUCGUUCCAGUUCAGCGACGACUCGUUAGUCCAGGAUGUGGAGGGUCAGACGAGGUAGUCGACAAGGUUGGUGAGGAGGAGGAAUGCAGCAGAGAUUAUCCCGCUGGAGG